rnacentral:rRNA from 1 species
GUAGGUGGCAAGCGUUGUCCGGAAUUAUUGGGCGUAAAGCGCGCGCAGGCGGUUCUUUAAGUCUGAUGCGAAAGCCCACGGCUCAACCGUGGAGGGUCAUUGGAAACUGGAGAACUUGAGUACAGAAGAGGAAAGCGGAAUUCCACGUGUAGCGGUGAAAUGCGUAGAGAUGUGGAGGAACACCAGUGGCGAAGGCGGCUUUCUGGUCUGUAACUGACGCUGAGGCGCGAAAGCGUGGGGAGCAAACAGGAUUAGAUACCCUGGUAGUCCACGCCGUAAACGAUGAGUGCUAAGUGUUAGGGGGUUUCCGCCCCCCUUAGUGCUGCAGCUAACGCAUUAAGCACUCCGCCUGGGAGUACGGCCGCAAGGCUG